GAUGAACGCUGGCGGCGUGCUUAACACAUGCAAGUCGAACGAGAAGUGAAGACGGAAACCUUCGGGCGGAAGGCUUUAUUUCGAGUGGCGGACGGGUGAGUAACGCGUGGGUAACCUGCCUCAUACAGGGGGAUAACAGUUGGAAACGACUGUUAAUACCGCAUAAGACCACAGCACCGCAUGGUGCGGGGGUAAAAACUCCAGUGGUAUGAGAUGGACCUGCGUUCGAUUAGCCAGUUGGCGGGGUAACGGCCCACCAAAGCGACGAUCGCUAGCCGAUCUGGGAGGAGGGCCGGCAACAUUGGGACAGGGACAAGUCCCGAACUCCUACGGGAGGCCGCAGGGGGGAAUAUUGCACAAUGGGGGAAACCCUGAGGCAGCGGCGCCGCGUGAGUGAAGAAGUAUUUCGGUAUGUAAAGCUCUAUCAGCAGGGAAGAAAAUGACGGUACCUGAGUAAGAAGCCCGGGCUAACUACGU
rnacentral:rRNA from 1 species